rnacentral:rRNA from 1 species
UGGGUAAUCUUUUGAAACUUCAUCGUGCUGGGGAUAGAGCUUUGCAAUUAUUGCUCUUGAACGAGGAAUCCCUAGUAAGUACAAGUCAUCAGCUUGUGCUGAUUACGUCCCUGCCCUUUGUACACACCGCCCGUCGCUACUACCGAUUGAAUGGCUUAGUGAGGCCCUCGGAUUGAGGUUCGGAGACUGGCAACAGACUCUGGAUUUUGAAAAGUUGGUCAAACUUGGUCAUUUAGAGGAAGUAAAAGUCGUAACAAGGUUUCCGUAGGUGAACCUGCGGAAGGAUCAUU